rnacentral:rRNA from 1 species
UACGAAGGGGGCUAGCGUUGCUCGGAAUUACUGGGCGUAAAGGGCGCGUAGGCGGAUGGUACAGUCAGAUGUGAAAUUCCUGGGCUUAACCUGGGGGCUGCAUUUGAUACGUGUUGUCUAGAGUGAGGAAGAGGGUCGUGGAAUUCCCAGUGUAGAGGUGAAAUUCGUAGAUAUUCGGAAGAACACCAGUGGCGAAGGCGACUUACUGGACACAUAUUGACGCUGAGGUGCGAAAGCGUGGGGAGCAAACAGG